rnacentral:rRNA from 1 species
UACAGGGGGGGCUAGUAUUAUUCUACAUGGCUGGGCGUAAAGGAUAUGUAGGUGGUUCUUUUUAAUUUUAAAUGAAAAGCUAUAAAAAAUUUAUAGAUAAAUUUAUUAUAUUUUAGAUCUUGGAGUUUAUAGAAGAUAAUAGAAUUCGAUUAGAGUAAAUGUGAAAUGUGGCAAGACUAGGGGGAAUUCCAAAUAGCGAAAGCAAUUAUCUCAUUAAAACUGACACUGAAAUAUGAAGGUAUGGUAAAGAAGCGAAUAGG